rnacentral:rRNA from 1 species
UUAAGAUUGAUUCUUCGGAUGACAUCUUUUGUGACUUAGUGGCGGACGGGUGAGUAACGCGUGGGUAACCUGCCUCACACAGGGGGAUAACAGUUAGAAAUGACUGCUAAUACCGCAUAACCCGAUAGGAUCGCAUGAUCCAGACGGAAAAGAUUUAUCGGUGUGAGAUGGACCCGCGUCUGAUUAGCUAGUUGGUGAGGUAACGGCCCACCAAGGCGACGAUCAGUAGCCGGCCUGAGAGGGUGAACGGCCACAUUGGGACUGAGACACGGCCCAAACUCCUACGGGAGGCAGCAGUGGGGAAUAUUGCACAAUGGGGGAAACCCUGAUGCAGCGACGCCGCGUGAGUGAAGAAGUAUUUCGGUAUGUAAAGCUCUAUCAGCAGGGAAGAAAAUGACGGUACCUGACUAAGAAGCCCCGGCUAACUACGUGCCAGCAGCCGCGGUAAUACGUAGGGGGCAAGCGUUAUCCGGAUUUACUGGGUGUAAAGGGAGCGUAGACGGUCAAGCAAGUCAGAAGUGAAAGGCUGGGGCUCAACCCCGGGACUGCUUUUGAAACUGUCUGACUGGAGUGCUGGAGAGGUAAGCGGAAUUCCUAGUGUAGCGGUGAAAUGCGUAGAUAUUAGGAGGAACACCAGUGGCGAAGGCGGCUUACUGGACAGUAACUGACGUUGAGGCUCGAAAGCGUGGGGAGCAAACAGGAUUAGAUACCCUGGUAGUC